UCCUGCCGGACCUGACUGCUAUCGGAUUGAUACUAAGCCAUGCGAGUCUUUGUAGUAAUACAAGGCAGACGGCUCAGUAACACGUAGUCAACCUACCCUAUGGACAAGAAUAAUCUCGGGAAACUGGGCAUAAUUCUUGAUAGAUCAUAAUGCCUGGAAUGGUUUAUGGUUAAAAUGAUUCGUCGCCAUAGGAUGGGACUGCGGCCUAUCAGCUUGUUGGUGAGGUAAUGGCCCACCAAGGCGAUUACAGGUACGGGCUCUGAGAGGAGAAGCCCGGAGAUGGGUACUGAGACACGGACCCAGGCCCUAUGGGGCGCAGCAGGCGAGAAAACUUUGCAAUGUGCGAAAGCACGACAAGGUUAAUCCGAGUGAUUUCUGCUAAAGAAAUCUUUUGCCAGUCAUAAAACCACUGGUGAAUAAGGGGUGGGCAAGUUCUGGUGUCAGCCGCCGCGGUAAAACCAGCACCUCAAGUGGUCAGGAUGAUUAUUGGGCCUAAAGCAUCCGUAGCCGGCUUUGUUAGUUUUCGGUUAAAUCCAUGUGCUCAACGCAUGGGCUGCCGAAAAUACUGCAUAGCUAGGGAGUGGGAGAGGUAGACGGUACUCAGUAGGAAGGGGUAAAAUCCUUUGAUCUAUUGAUGACCACCUGUGGCGAAGGCGGUCUACCAGAACACGUUCGACGGUGAGGGAUGAAAGCUGGGGGAGCAAACCGGAUUAGAUACCCGGGUAGUCCCAGCUGUAAACGAUGCAGACUCGAUGAUGCAUUGGCAUAAUAGCCAGUGCAGUGUCGCAGGGAAGCCGUUAAGUCUGCCGCCUGGGAAGUACGUACGCAAGUAUGAAACUUAAAGGAAUUGGCGGGGGAGCACCACAAGGGGUGAAGCCUGCGGUUCAAU
rnacentral:rRNA from 1 species